rnacentral:lncRNA from 1 species
AUUUAGCUCUCCCUCUCCCUCUCUCCCUCUCUCCCUCUCCCCACAGUCUCCCUCUCCCUCUCUUUCCACGGUCUCCCUCUGAUGCCGAGCCGAAGCUGGACUGUACUGCUGCCAUCUUGGCUCACUGCAACCUCCCUGCCUGAUUCUCCUGCCUCAGCCUGCCGAGUGCCUGCGAUUGCAGGCGCGCGCCACCACGCCUGACUGGUUUUCGUAUUUUUUUGGUGGAGACGGGGUUUCGCUGUGUUGGCCGGGCUGGUCUCCAGCUCCUAACCGCGAGUGAUCCGCCAGCCUCGGCCUCCCGAGGUGCCGGGAUUGCAGACGGAGUCUCGUUCACUCAGUGCUCAAUGGUGCCCAGGCUGGAGUGCAGUGUCGUGAUCUCGGCUCACUACAACCUCCACCUCCCAGCCGCCUGCCUUGGUCUCCCAAAGUGCCGAGAUUGCAGCCUCUGCCCGGCCGCCACCCAGUCUGGGAAGUGAGGAGCGUCUCUGCCUGGCCGCCCAUCGACUGGGAUGUGAGGAGCCCCUCUGCCUGGCUGCCCAGUCUGGAAAGUGAGGAGCGUCUCUGCCCAGCCGCCAUCCCAUCUAGGAAGUGAGGAGUGUCUCUGCCCGGCCGCCCAUCGUCUGAGAUGUGGGGAGCGCCUCUACCCUGCCGCCCGGUCCGGGAUGUGAGGAGCAUCUCUGCCCGGCCGCCCUGUCUGAGAAGUGAGGAGACCCUCUGCCUGGCAACCGCCCCAUCUGAGAAGUGAGGAGCCCCUCCGCCCGGCAGCCGCCCUGUCUGAGAAGUGAGGAGCCCCUCCGCCCAGCAGCCACCCCGUCUGGGAAGUGAGGAGCGUCUCCGCCCGGCAGCCACCUCGUCCGGGAGGGAGGUGGGGGGGUCAGCCCCCCGCCCGGCCAGCCGCCCCGUCCGGGAGGGAGGUGGGGGGGUCAGCCCCCUGCCCGGCCAGCCACCCCGUCCGGGAGGGAGGUGGGGGCGUCAGCCCCCCGCCCGACCAGCCGCACCGUCCGGGAGGUGAGGGGCGCCUCUGCCCGGCCGCCCCUACUGGGAAGUGAGGAGCCCCUCUGCCCGGCCAGCCACCCCGUCCGGGAGGGAGGUGGGGGGGGGGGGUCAGCCCCGUGCCCGGCCAGCCGCCCUGUCCGGGAGGUGAGGGGCGCCUCUGCCUGGCUGCCCCUACUGGGAAGUGAGGAGCCCCUCUUCCCGGCCACCACCCCGUCUGGGAGGUGUACCCAACAGCUCACUGAGAACGGGCCAUGAUGACAAUGGCGGUUUUGUGGAAUAGAAAGGGGGGAAAGGUGGGGAAAUGAUUGAGAAAUCGGAUGGUUGCCGUGUCUGUGUAGAAAGAGGUAGACAUGGGAGACUUUUCAUUUUGUUCUGUACUAAGAAAAAUUCUUCUGCCUUGGGAUCCUGUUGAUCUGUGACCUUACCCCCAACCCUGUGCUCUCUGAAACAUGUGCUGUAUCCACUCAGGGUUGAAUGGAUUAAGGGCGGUGCAAGAUGUGCUUUGUUAAACAGAUGCUUGAAGGUAGCAUGCUCGUUAAGAGUCAUCACCACUCCCUAAUCUCAAGUCCAGGGACACAAACACUGCGGAAGGCCGAAGGGUCCUCUGCCUAGGAAAACCAGAGACCUUUGUUCACUUGUUUAUCUGCUGACCUUCCCUCCACUAUUGUCCUGUGACCCUGCCAAAUCCCCCUCUGCGAGAAACACCCAAGAAUGAUCAAUAAAAAAAUAAAAUAAAAUAAAAUAAAAUAAAAUAAAAAAAGAGUUCCUCCUGCCUUG